CACGUAGGCGGACUCUUAAGUCAGGGGUGAAAUCCUGGAGCUCAACUCCAGAACUGCCUUUGAUACUGGGAGUCUUGAGUUCGGGAGAGGUGAGUGGAACUGCGAGUGUAGAGGUGAAAUUCGUAGAUAUUCGCAAGAACACCAGUGGCGAAGGCGGCUCACUGGCCCGAUACUGACGCUGAGUGCGAAAGCGUGGGAGCAAACA
rnacentral:rRNA from 1 species